rnacentral:sRNA from 1 species
UUAUGAGCCGCAGUAUUGUCUUGCUAGAAGAAUACUGAGAAAAGUAAUAGCCAUAUCAUCCAUCAUUGAUGAUGUGUAUGAUGCCUAUGGAACCAUUGAUGAACUAGAGAUAUUUACCGAUGCAAUAGAAAGGUGGGAUAUCUCCUCAUUAGUUGAUCUCCCAGAAUAUAUGAGAUUAUGUUACAAGGAACUUUUGGAUAUUUUUGAAGAAACAGAGCAGCAGUUGAGAAAGCGGGGAAAAGAAAACUUCGUCAAGUAUGCACAAAAAGAAAUGAAAAGACUAGUCCAGGCAUACCUUAUUGAGGCAAGGUGGUUUAAUUCCAACCACACACCAACUGUAGAGGAGUACAUGGAGAUUGCAACUAUGUCAUGUGGUUAUGCUAUGUUGACAACUGUAUCUUUCUUGGGCAUGGAAGACACGACAGAGGAGGUCCUCAUAUGGGCAACGAGCCACCCAAAAAUAAUUGAAGCUGCUUCAAUUAUUUGUAGGCUCAUGGACGACAUUGUUGGCAGUGAGGUAUAUC